GUCCAGCUCAGUUGGUAGAGCAUGGCACUUGCAAUGCGAAGGUUGUGGGUUUGAUUUCCCACAGGGGACC
rnacentral:tRNA from 1 species